AUUAAGUAAAUUCUCUCCCAACUCAUUUUAGCUAUGCAAGUGAAAAUUCACAUUCAACUCUCAGAUGGUUUUCCUACUAUGAAUCAAGCUCUUAAUAAGCUCCAUGUAAAGUGGAAUAAUGAAUUUUCCAAUGCAAUAUGUCUCGCAAUUGUCAUGCUUGAACAACGACUCUUCCAAAACCAUCAAUGAACCUGAAAAUUAUAAAUUGCCAACAUAGAAUAUGUUACAAAUCCCAUUAUUAUCAGCCUUAUAUUUGCACAUAUGUGUGUUUAGUAUAAUGCUGUUGAUGUAUAAAUAAUGAAACAUUUUAGCAACUUCAACCUCACCACCAAAUAUUCUGAAGUAUUUUCCUUUUUUUCCUGUUUGGACCUUCAAUAACAA
rnacentral:lncRNA from 1 species